rnacentral:rRNA from 1 species
AGAGCGAACGCUGGCGGCAGGCCUAACACAUGCAAGUCGAGCGGCCGUAGCAAUACGGCAGCGGCAGACGGGAGAGUAACACGUGGGAACGCGCCCUUCGGUUCGGAAUAACUCAGGGAAACUUGAGCUAAUACCGAAUACGCCCUUACGGGGAAAGAUUUAUUGCCGAAGGAACGGCCCGCGUCCGAUUAGCUAGUUGGUGAGGUAAUGGCUCACCAAGGCGACGAUCGGUAGCUGGUCUGAGAGGAUGACCAGCCUCACUGGGACUGAGACACGGCCCAGACUCCUACGGGAGGCAGCAGUGGGGAAUAUUGGACAAUGGGCGCAAGCCUGAUCCAGCCAUGCCGCGUGGAUGAUGAAGGCCUUAGGGUUGUAAAGUCCUUUUAACGGGGAAGAUAAUGACGGUACCCGUAGAAUAAGCCCCGGCUAACUUCGCGCCAGCAGCCGC